CCAGAGGGCGCCCCGUGCCAGAGACUGGUAAUCGUGUCCAGUGUCCACUCUCCUAGGAGACUCUACUCAAGUUUAGCUAGACACAUGGCUAUCCAGCUGGGGGCCACAUGUCCCAGCCCACCUUGAAGCUUCGUGUGGCCCUGUGGCGUUAGCCAGUGGAGUGUGAGUGAUGCGAUGGGUGUGAAGAGCAACCUCUAGUGACGUGUUUAUGACAAUGUUGCAUGGCCUCUCUGAUGCGGCAGAGGGGCUGGGACACGGGUGUGACAAUAUGUGCCAGUUUGAGCAUGUGGAUAGGGCCACCAUGGUAGGGAUGGCAGAAGGAAUCUGAUCUCCAGGACAAGCUCGCUGAGCCGCGCGGUGUGGCCCAAGUGCCCUGGACUCCAGCCCCGCCAGCCUGAUGGUCCCCUCCUCGCCGAACCCGCCUGACUGCCUUCCUUUCCGCACAUUGUCUCACUUCCUAACUCAGCAAGAGAUCCAGGAAUUCUGGCGUGCACCCUGCUGCGUCUCCUCUCCUCUCUGCCCAAUUCUCUGCGCCCCUCCACAUACCCACCUGCCAGCGGGGGGCCAGCAUCAGCUAGAACUGAGCCUCGGUAUCCUGCUUAUAAGUGUGGGCACGUCGCUAUUGGCUUGGUCUGCUUGGUACCGCCACACCCCAGCUCGAAGUAAAGGCCCACCCAUUCCCCAUGAAGGAAGGACAUGUGGAUCAGCUGGCCCACUCACACUGCCCUGUCAUGACAACCACGAUUGGUCUAGGGUUGUGCCUAUGAUCAGAGAUGGGCCAAUUAGAGCCCUUCCCUGGAAAUUUUCCACCUGGAGUUUGUGGAGAAAAGUCUUUCUUUUCUGGGCGUGAGGUGCUAAGAAUGAAGACCAGAGGCCGCCUGCACUCGGGUUCCCUGAUACCUGGAGGGGGCCCAGAUGCAGGAAAAGAGAAGAAUAAAGAAGGAUCUGAUGACAUUCGCGUUCCUGAGCGCAGCUGCCCUGAGAUCGGAUCUCCCUCACUCGUGUGGUUCUGAUUGGUUUCUGUCCCUUACGACAGAGUGCUCAGACUAAUGCACGUGACACCCACCAGGCCUCCCUCACGAGCAGGCUGCCCCAGAACAACCCAAGUCUGCCCUCAGCUUCCCACCUCGGCCAGCGCCUCGCCUGGCCACUCACCUGGCCCACCAGGCUGGAGGUCCUAAAAUCAUAUCCCCUUCCUUCAUCUUACUCCCACCGGGCCUGCUCUAUCUGUCCCAUACAG